GAAAGCGGCAAACGGGUGCGUAACACGUAAGCAAUCUGCCCUAAAGUUUGGAAUAGCCCAGGGAAACUUGGAUUAAUACCAAAUGUGGUCCUUCUUCGCAUGUUGAAGGUACUAAAGCUUGUAAUGGCGCUUUAGGAGGAGCUUGCGGCCUAUCAGCUUGUUGGUGAGGUAACGGCUCACCAAGGCUAAGACGGGUAGCUGUUCUGAGAGGAUGAUCAGCCACACUGGAACUGAGAUACGGUCCAGACACCUACGGGUGGCAGCAGUCUCGAAUCAUCCACAAUGGGCGAAAGCCUGAUGGUGCAACGCCGCGUGGGGGAUGAAGGCCUUCGGGUCGUAAACCCCUGUCAUCAAGGAACAAAAAACUGUGAAGAGCAGUCUUGAGCUAACUUGAAGAGGAAGAGGUGGCUAACUCCGUGCCACCAGCCGCGGUAAUACUGAUACCUCGAGCGUUACUCGGAUUCACUGGGCGUAAAGGGUGCGCACGCGGUCGUGUGUGUCAUGUGUGAAAUCCCGGGGCUUUAACUCCAGAACUGCGCCUGAAACUACACAACUAGAGAUUUGGAGAGGUAGCGGAAUUCUAAGUGUAGCGUAAAAUGCGUAGAUAUCUAAUAGGAACAUCAUGUCUAAGGCAGC
rnacentral:rRNA from 1 species